GAUGAACGCUGGCGGCGUGCCUAAUACAUGCAAGUCGAGCGAACAGACGAGGAGCUUGCUCCUCUGACGUUAGCGGCGGACGGGUGAGUAACACGUGGAUAACCUACCUAUAAGACUGGGAUAACUUCGGGAAACCGGAGCUAAUACCGGAUAACAUGUUGAACCGCAUGGUUUAACAGUGAAAGACGGUCUUGCUGUCACUUAUAGAUGGAUCCGCGCCGCAUUAGCUAGUUGGUAAGGUAACGGCUUACCAAGGCAACGAUGCGUAGCCGACCUGGGAGGGGGGUCGGCCGCAUGAGAACGUGAACGCGGUCCAGGCUCCUAAGGGAGGGAGCAGUAGGGUACGUGACGCAAUAGGCGGAAACCUGACGGAGCAAGGGCGCGUGAGUGAAGAAGGUCUUCGGAUCGUAAAACUCUGUUAUUAGGGAAGAACAAAUGUGUAAGUAAAUAUGCACGUCUUGACGGUACCUAAUAAGAAAGCCACGGCUAACUACGUG
rnacentral:rRNA from 1 species